AAGGAAUAAGCCCCCGGCUAACUACUGCCAGCAGCCGCGGUAAUACGUAGGGGGCAAGCGUUAUCCGGAAUCACUGGGCGUAAAGGGAGUGUAGGCGGUCAAGCAAGUCAGAGGUGAAAGGCCAUCGGCUCAACCGAUGUAAGCCUUUGAAACUGUUUGACUUGAGUGCAGGAGAGGUAAGUGGAAUUCCUAGUGUAGCGGUGAAAUGCGUAGAUAUUAGGAGGAACACCAGUGGCGAAGGCGACUUACUGGACUGUAACUGACGCUGAGGGCCUCGAAAGCGUGGGGAGCGAACCAGGAUUAGAUACCCCUCGGUAG
rnacentral:rRNA from 1 species